GAGGUGACUCUUAGUUUUAACUCUUUCUCCUCCUAGUUGAUUUCAACCUUUUUUUUUUUUUUCCUAGAGAAAUCUUAGAACGCUGACCUGGGAACAGCAAGCGCUGCUGGCCCCUAAGUAGAAGGAAGAGUUUGGAAUGAUGGUGGUAUGUACAGCGGGAGAAAUCUUCAUUCUGCGGUUGUGGGUGCUCUGACGUAAACAGGUGUUCCUGCCAAGUGGUUAUUGGAGAAUGUUUCCUUUCGACUCUUCUUCAUCUCUUUUGUGGCUGAUCCCCUGUGGCACAUGGAGUUGGUUGUUUCCUGGUAGAUAUCUGAGGAGUAUCUUGUCCCACAGUCCCAUCCCUUCAAAGGGAAGGACAAACCCAAAGCUGCAGUGUGGUUUUGAAUGCCUGUUCUCGUGUUCUGCUUGCUUGCUGGGAGGAGAGGAGCGCACGUUCGCUGCAGCAGCAAUGCAAGAUUAGACAGCUGAAGAGAAAAGCCCAAUAAAGGGAUG
rnacentral:lncRNA from 1 species